GCGCCGGUGGCGAAGGCGUCGGACCUGCUGCUGCCGGCGGCGGUGGGGACGGGGUUGGCGUUCGACACGGCGUGUGCGCC
rnacentral:tRNA from 1 species